rnacentral:rRNA from 1 species
UAGGGAAUCUUCCGCAAUGGACGCAAGUCUGACGGAGCAACGCCGCGUGAGUGAAGAAGGAUUUCGGUUCGUAAAACUCUGUUGUUAGAGAAGAACAGCGCAUAGAGUAACUGUUAUGCGUGUGACGGUAUCUAACCAGAAAGCCACGGCUAACUACGUGCCAGCAGCCGCGGUAAUACGUAGGUGGCAAGCGUUGUCCGGAUUUAUUGGGCGUAAAGCGAGCGCAGGCGGUCAAUUAAGUCUGAUGUGAAAGCCCCCGGCUCAACCGGGGAGGGUCAUUGGAAACUGGUUGACUUGAGUGCACAAGAGGAGAGUCUAAUUCCAUGUGUAGCGGUGAACUGCGUCGAUAUAUGGAGGAACACCAGUGGCGAAGGCGACUCUCUGGUCUGUAACUGACGCUGAGGCUCGAAAGCGUGGGUAGCAAACAGG